GAUAGCGUGGCCGAGCGGUCUAAGGCGCUGGAUUUAGGCCUCCAGUCUCUUCGGAGGCGUGGGUUCGAAUCCCACCACUGUCA
rnacentral:tRNA from 1 species